CCUACGGGUGGCUGCAGCCAGGAAUCUUGGGCAAUGGGCGCAAGCCUGACCCAGCAACACCGUGUGGGCGAUGAAGGCUCUAGGGUCGUAAAGCCCUGUUGAUAGGGACGAAGGGCGAAGGGUUAAUAGCCCCUAGCUUGACGGUACCUUUCGAGGAAGCCCCGGCUAACUACGUGCCAGCAGCCGCGGUAAUACGUAGGGGGCGAGCGUUGUCCGGAAUUAUUGGGCGUAAAGAGCGUGUAGGCGGUUCGGUAAGUCUGCCGUGAAAACCUGGG
rnacentral:rRNA from 1 species